GGAUCAUCCGCGCUGCUACAGUUCCUUACAACCUAACAAUAGGGGAUGAAACGCUGCACGAGAUCCAUUUAUACUUAGAGUGACAUCACGUGUACGCUGCCGUGGAGCAUGCUGGGAACUGAAGUCCCUUUACAAUGGUCACGGGGAAACCUGGAGUCUAUCCCAGGGAUCGUGGGGUACAAGACGGGAUACACCCUGGACAGGGUGCCAAUCUAUCACAGGGCACAAUCACAUACACACUCACACACCCGUUCAUAAACUACAGACACUUUAGACACGCCAAUCAGUCUACCAUGCAUGUCUUUGGACUGGGGGAGGAAACCGGAGUACCCGGAGGAAACCCCCGCAGCACGGGGAGAACAUGCGAACUCCACACACACAGGGCCACGGUGGGAAUCGAACCCCCUUUAUUUUAAAAACUCACAUGGUGGAUUGUGUUCAGUGUUACCUGAUGUUACUUGAUGUUACAUGGCUACAAACAAUGCUUACAGUGCAAACUGUAUUUUUUCAUUUUAAUAUAUAGAGAUAAAAGACAGAAAUAUCUCUUCUCUUUCAUUUUAUAUAUUAAAUAAGACCCAGUAAACCAGUGGUUGUGAUCCUAUGUCUUGUAUACAAAAAAAAAGACCUCAACGUGAAAGGCCUAUAAAAUUAAUUCCAUAUUGCAAUGUUAGCUUUGUUUGUUGCAUAUUUGUUUGUUUUUAAGUUGUCUAUGGACCUAAAUAAAGUAAUUGUUAUUGAAAUUUAUUAUUGAAAAA